rnacentral:rRNA from 1 species
GGVAAKUUUGGACAAUGGGGGCAACCCUGAUCMAGCAAUGCCCCGUGUGUGAAGAAGGCCUWAGGGUUGUAAAGCACUUUUGUCCSGGAAAGAAAUCCUCUGGGUUAAUACCCCGGGGGGAUGACGGUACCGGAAGAAUAAGCACCGGCUAACUACGUGCCAGCAGCCGCGGUAAUACGUAGGGUGCAAGCGUUAAUVGGAAUUACUGGGCGUAAAGCGUGCGCAGGCGGUCCGCUAASACAGAUGUGAAAUCCCCGGGCUUAACCUGGGAACUGCAUUUGUGACUGGCGGGCUAGAGUAUGGCAGAGGGGGGUAGAAUUCDACGUGUAGCAGUGAAAUGCGUAGAGAUGUGGAGGAAUACCGAUGGCGAAGGCAGCCCCCUGGGCMAAUACUGACGCUHAUGCACGAAAGCGUGGGGAGCAAACAGGAUUAGAUACCCUGGUAGUCHACGCCCUAAACGAUGUCAACUAGUUGUCGGGUCWDAAUUGACUUGGUAACGMUACUAACCU